UACAGAGGGUGCAAGCGUUGUUCGGAAUUAUUGGGCGUAAAGCGCGUGUAGGCGGCUUUGCAAGUCGGGUGUGAAAUCCCUCGGCUUAACCGAGGAACUGCGUCCGAUACUGAAAGGCUUGAAUCCGGGAGAGGGAUGUGGAAUUCCAGGUGUAGCGGUGAAAUGCGUAGAUAUCUGGAGGAACACCGGUGGCGAAGGCGGCAUCCUGGACCGGCAUUGACGCUGAGGCGCGAAAGCUAGGGGAGCAAACGGG
rnacentral:rRNA from 1 species